rnacentral:rRNA from 1 species
UACCAGCACCCCGAGUGGUCGGGACGAUUAUUGGGCCUAAAGCAUCCGUAGCCGGUUCUACAAGUCUUCCGUUAAAUCCACCUGCUUAACAGAUGGGCUGCGGAAGAUACUAUAGAGCUAGGAGGCGGGAGAGGCAAGCGGUACUCGAUGGGUAGGGGUAAAAAUCCGUUGAUCCAUUGAAGACCACCAGUGGCGAAGGCGGCUUGCCAGAACGCGCUCGACGGUGAGGGAUGAAAGCUGGGGGAGCAAACCGG